rnacentral:rRNA from 1 species
UACGUAGGUGGCAAGCGUUGUCCGGAUUUACUGGGCGUAAAGAGCGUGUAGGCGGCCCGGUAAGUCCGCUGUGAAAGUCGGGGGGCUCAACCCUCGAAUGCCGGUGGAUACUGUCGGGCUAGAGUGCGGAAGAGGCGAGUGGAAUUCCUGGUGUAGCGGUGAAAUGCGCAGAUAUCAGGAGGAACACCAAUUGCGAAGGCAGCUCGCUGGGACGUAACUGACGCUGAGACGCGAAAGCGUGGGGAGCAAACAGG